rnacentral:ribozyme from 2 species
AGAGGUAGUUUGAGGCCAUAGCAGAAGUGCUCACGGCAUGGCCCUGUCAGAUUCCAGUGAAUCUGCAAAUUCUGCU